rnacentral:rRNA from 1 species
UACAGAGGGUGCGAGCGUUAAUCGGAAUUACUGGGCGUAAAGCGCACGUAGGCGGCUUGGUAUGUCGGGUGUGAAAUCCCCGGGCUCAACCUGGGAACUGCAUCCGAAACUGCCUUGCUCGAGUAUGGGAGAGGGAAGUGGAAUUUCCGGUGUAGCGGUGAAAUGCGUAGAUAUCGGAAGGAACAUCAGUGGCGAAGGCGACUUCCUGGACCAAUACUGACGCUCAGGUGCGAAAGCGUAGGGAGCAAACAGG